GCCUUCCCGGGACCGAACACGCCGAGCGCCUUCUAAGCGCUUGGCCGCAGGUUCGAGUCCUGCCGGGGGCG
rnacentral:tRNA from 1 species